CCCCAGCUGAGACAAUAAACUUUUAAACGCCAUUAGCCUUUCUGUAAAAACGGUGCUUGAAGAGUUGAGAACACUGGGAGCAAAAUUAGUAAACAAUUAAAAAACAAGCCAAAUGGUUCUGAGUGGUGUUCCUUGGCUCUCGAUGACAGGUAUUACCAAUACUUGUUAUUUGGGGAGCCAAUCCUCAUUCGAAGUGACUGAAAAGUUACCCUCUAUAAAUAAUCUAUGUGGAACAACUAGAGGCAAGAAUAUUCUCAAAGCAGCUGAGAAAAACUAUUUUAGUACAACCUGAAGUGUAAUCUGCUAAGAUAUGUCACAACUGAUGAUGGUAAAGUAGAAAAAUACUUAGUUGGACUAUUUUACAAAGUCUGAGAAAAUGUAGGAUGUUUGAAGUCUGGUGCAGUUUUUUUGUGGAAAAAUAUCUUAAUCAGGUAUUACUGAACCACAGGCAUCAAUGGUCAACUUCAUUUGCUCUAAUGAACUUAACCACUGUCAGUUACAUGACUAUUUGUUAGUAAUAAAAGCUGAAUAUCCUCAUUUGGCCAACCACACAGGAUUUUGAUGGCUUAGCAGUGACAGCUUUAUUGUAAUUUAUUUGCAUUCAGGGCUGAUACUGAAUUUUUUCUAAACAAGAACCACCACCCUCAAUCACUAUUACCAAACACAGAAGAGUUUUAGAAAUUAAAUUUUGCGGCAGAUCUAGUAAUUUUUCCCCUUUUAAUUCGAGGUAGCCUCUAUUCUACAAAAUAGAAUGAAAGCUCCCCUAAAUGUUUUCUAAUAAAUUCAGCCUAAAAUUAUAAGGCAAAAAAAUAUAUGAGAAACUUCCAUUGUGGUAAGUCAUUCUGACAACUAAUACUGUCUGAAUUAAAGCAAGUUGCUUUAUUUUUUAAUUUUUUACUUUUUGAGAUGUGGUCUUGCUUUAUUGCCCAGGCCAGAGUGCAGUGGUGUAAUGAGGCUCACUACAGCCUACUGGCUCAAGACAUUCUCCUGCCUCAGCCUCCCAAGUAGCUGGGACUAUAGGCACAUGCCACCACACCUGGCUAAUUUAAUUUUCUAUAAAGACAAGGUCUCACUAUGUUGCCCAGGCAGGUCUCAAACUGCUGAACUCAAGUGAUCCUCCUGCCUCCGCCUCCCAAAGUGCUGGGAUUAAAGGCGCGAGCCACCAUACCCAGUCAGCAAACUGCUUUAUACAUAACCCGUGCUGCCAAGUUAAGACAAGUGAGAUCUUCAUUCCCACACAAUUUUGCAGCAGAUACAUUUUUUCAAACUCAAACUAGCAUUCUUCAAACCUUGACUCAAGCGCAAAAAAAAUUUCCAUAUAUCAAAAUCCAUUUAACUGUGCAGCCGAGGAGCUUCCACCUAACCCUCUACUGGAAGUGAUUAAUCUGCAAUGUAAUGACAUGCUGAAAGGCAAGUAUCAGGAGAAUUCUAUAAAUGCUUUCCAAGUGAUGAAUAUGCAGUAUGUCCCUGUGUAAAAAGACAUCUUCUAAGAUGAAAUACAUAGAAUCUCACUACAGAUCAGCAUCAAGAGAUGACCACUUGCAAUCAGUUUUGAUGACAGAGAACAUUAACUUUGAAUCUCAAUUAAGCAAAAUGUGUAUCCUCUCCCAAAAGAAUUCUGUCCUUUACUCAACCAUUAUAUUUCACAUUUUAUAUCAGUGUAAAAACUUUUCCAUUGCAGGUUUGUCUUUCCAACGCACAUAUCCAAGGGUAUGUGAUAUAUAUGUGUCUGUGUGUUGUGUGUAUACUAAAUUUUACUUUUCACUAACCUUAUGCUACUUUCCCCAGCAAGUUCUUACUUAUCAUUACCUCUCUAAAACAGAAAAGAUGGCAAGAAAAAAGCACUAAUUCCAACACCUAUGCACGGUGUCUCAUAAAUUUUUUUUUUUUGAGACAGGGUCUCUCUGUCACCCAGGCUGGAGUAUAAUGGCAUGAUCUUGGCUCACUGAAACCUCCACCUCCUGGCUUCAGGUGAAUCUCCUACCUCAAUCUACUGGGUAGGUGGGAUUACAGGUGUGUGCCACCAUGCCCAGCUAAUUUUUUGUAUUUUUAGUAGAGACGGGGUUUCGCCAUGUGCCCAGGCUCGAACUCCUGACCUCAAGUGAUCCACUCGCCUUGGCCUCAUAAAAUCUUAGUAAUCUUCACUGACCACUGGUAUUCUAACUCUUACUCAACCCCCACCCCCAAGAUUACAUACUAAUUAAUGGCAGUUAAAUCUAGACAUCCUAAUUUUUUCCUAGCAUUUUCUCCAUAUUUAGCACAAAAGCCUGCUUUUAAGCAACAAAAAGGCAGAAAAAUAAAAAUUCUACAAUUGGCUAAAAUGUGGAGUCUCUCUUUUUUUU
rnacentral:lncRNA from 10 species